GAUGAACGCUGGCGGCGUGCCUAAUACAUGCAAGUCGAGCGAACGGACGAGAAGCUUGCUUCUCUGAUGUUAGCGGCGGACGGGUGAGUAACACGUGGAUAACCUACCUAUAAGACUGGGAUAACUUCGGGAAACCGGAGCUAAUACCGGAUAAUCUUUUGAACCGCAUGGUUCAAAAGUAAAAGACGGUCUUGCUGUCACUUAUAGAUGGAUCCGCGCUGCAUUAGCUAGUUGGUAAGGUAACGGCUUACCAAGGCAACGAUGCAUAGCCGACCUGAGAGGGUGAUCGGCCACACUGGAACUGAGACACGGUCCAGACUCCUACGCGAGGCAGCAGUAGGGAAUCUUCCGCAAUGGGCGAAAGCCUGACGGAGCAACGCCGCGUGAGUGAUGAAGGUCUUCGGAUCGUAAAACUCUGUUAUUAGGGAAGAACAUAUGUGUACGUAACUGUGCACAUCUUGACGGUACCUAAUCAGAAAGCCCCGGCUAACUACGUG
rnacentral:rRNA from 1 species